rnacentral:lncRNA from 1 species
AGGAAUUCUAUUUAUUUCAAACAUUGUUGUGGAUCCUUUCUUUUCCAUCCACACUCACCUUCCUAAACGUGAGGUAAUCCAUUACAAUCUGUAUCCUUCCCUUCCCAUGGUAGCUGUUCACUACCCAGUUUGCACCCUACAGACCAAGGGGUUGGGGGGUGACUUUCCAAGUGGUAAGAACCAAAUGAGCCUUUUCAAUGAACUCAAGGGGUGAAAAUCCCAACUGCCUUGAGUCUUGUGUGAGAAGCCCCCAGGUGAGUGACCUUGGCAGAGGGGCCACAGCACUCUUCCCAAGCUCAGGUCAUGUCUCCCCAGCUGCCAGCACGUUCUGCCUCCAGUCUGCCUCCUUCCUCAUCCAUUUCUCCAAUCUUUCUCCACUUACCGCACCACUGGUGGUCUGGGGUGUGCAGCCCAGAUGUUUUCCCCAAGCAAUUAAGAGAUUACUUUUCAAGUGGCUUCACAGAGCAGAUGUUCCCAUUCGCCCGGUUGGCCCCCAAUUGCUAAAACCUUUCCCUGCCCCAGAGCACAUUGUGUUGCUGCUGUGUGUUUGAUCAGGAGAGUACAAGCAGGAACAAGAGAGUCCCACGCUGACGACCGACCGUUUGGCAGGCGAACUCCUGGGCCUAAGUGUGUUCCUCCUCCCUUUGUUCCCAUUACAGUUGUGAGCAGAUGUUCUCAACUAGACAACUGGCUGUUCUUUCUCUGGCCCCUGACACCAGUGCUGCUUCUCAUUCCCUGCUUUAUGCUAAUCGCAAUAUGCCCCAGACUCUAGUAUCUCUCUUUGCUGAGAAGCAUCCACCACAUUACUUCAUCCAGAGCUUUUUUGGCUUAGCCUGGGCAAUCUGUUAGAUAAGGGAGUGUGCUGCUAGAUCUACACUUCAGUUAAAGGUUGCUCACAAUCAUUUACCUGCUUGAAUCUAUUCUUUUACCUACCUUCUGCUCCCCUCCCCAUCCCACCUCCCAUUCCAGCUUCAGCCAAGCUCAAUUAUUGCAAUAUUGCAAUUCUAGUGAUAUUCUCUCUCACCUCCAAGUAAUUAUGCAUUCCUUUUCUUAUUUAUUUAUCUAUUAAUUUAUUUGUUGUACCAGGGAUUUAACCCAGGGGCACUUUACCACUGAGCCACACCCCCCUUUAUGUUUUUAUUUUUUAUUUUUGAGAUAAGUUCUCCCUAAAUUGCUUAGGGCCUCAUUAAAUUGUGGAGACUGGCCUGGAAAUUGUGAUCCUCUACUUCCACCUCCCAAAUAGCUGGGAUUAUGGGCGUGCACCAC